rnacentral:rRNA from 1 species
UACGUAGGGUGCGAGCGUUGUCCGGAAUUAUUGGGCGUAAAGAGCUCGUAGGUGGUUUGUCGCGUUGUUCGUGAAAUUCCCUGGCUUAACUGGGGGCGUGCGGGCGAUACGGGCAGACUGGAGUACUGCAGGGGAGACUGGAAUUCCUGGUGUAGCGGUGGAAUGCGCAGAUAUCAGGAGGAACACCGGUGGCGAAGGCGGGUCUCUGGGCAGUAACUGACGCUGAGGAGCGAAAGCGUGGGGAGCGAACAGG